UACAGAGGUCCCAAGCGUUGUUCGGAUUCACUGGGCGUAAAGGGUGCGUAGGCGGUCAGGUAAGUCUGAUGUGAAAUCUCUGGGCUUAACCCAGAAAUGGCAUUGGAUACUAUUUGGCUUGAGAGUUGGGAGGGGGGACUGGAAUUCUUGGUGUAGCAGUGAAAUGCGUAGAUAUCAAGAGGAACACCAGUGGCGAAGGCGAGUCCCUGGACAACUUCUGACGCUGAGGCACGAAAGCUAGGGGAGCAAACAGG
rnacentral:rRNA from 1 species